rnacentral:lncRNA from 1 species
UUGUGCACAUACACGUGUGUGUUUGCAUGUACAGUGAGUACAGACCUGCUUAUGUAGAGUCUUCACACUCACACACAGAGAUUUAAUGUGUGUGCUGCAAGCGGUUUAUUUCAAGGUGGGUCUUCUGUGGCUGUCUUUGUUGGAGAUGGAUUCUUGGGAGGAGGUGGGGUCUUCUUUCUUUGCUGAGGUAUGGGGCUGCUUUCCCACUUGUACAGGUUAGUGUGGAUGACACAAGUCACCUGAAUCCUUCUCUCUGCGUGACAGAUAGAGUCUUAGCUGCCAGACUUUAAGGGGAGGCUCCUGACCCGGUAUGACAUAUGACCUUGCAGAAUCUCUCAAUGCACAGAUUUCUCCAGCAAGUGGCAAGGCUCAUCCCUGUAGUGCAUCCAUUCAGGACUUAUCCACCCUCUUCCAUCUCUCUGUGAACUGGGCUUCCUCGGUGUCCACGUCUUUGUGUAUAGUAGUUGGUCACCUCCCCACAGUGCCUAUGGCUGAUCAAUUCCUACACAAACUGGGGAUUAGUGUAUUUUUGGAAGAAUGAGUGUUGGCAAUGUGUUCCAUGUUAUAUCUUCUAUUAGUAAUCAAAUGAGAGACUGUGGUAAGAAUAGGAGGAAGAUGAUGAUGGAAAUAUUUGUAUUUUCUGGCCUGGACAGGAAAGGGAGGAGGACUGACACUGGUGUGAAGGAGGAGUAUGUGUUUUAGGAAACCCUGUUACCCCCGCCCCCAGCUACCCAGCCUUUAUAAAUUUCAUCAAGGGUUUAUUUAUACAACCCCUGAUGAAAAUGGUCCAAGACUCCCCC